UCUGCCGCGAGAGCUCUCGUCCCAGCCCCAGUGCCGGUGCCUAUGGUUGCGUCUGCUUCCACGAUCGCGGAAGCAACGGCGUCGCUCCUACCGCUGCACCCCUGCAAGCGGCGAAGAAGUCUAAAGAAGCUCAACAGCCCGCGCAUCGCGCCCAUCGAGCCCGACAACGACCGCCGGGUGCUGGCCGUCGACGCCGUCCUCGACCGCGACGCUGCCUUCCACUUCCUCUCCUGCGUGCGGUCCUUCAUGGCCUCCCUCCCGCCCCCGCACCGCAUCCCCCUUGCCGAGGCCGACAAGCUGUAUCGCGAGCUCGGCUUCCCUCGCGGCCGCAGCGUCUCAUGCGCCUCCGCCCGCCAACCGCUGCUCUUCCACCGCACCACCAUGGGCUCCGUCCUGCACCUCAUGUUCACGUCGCUCUUGUGCUCGCUCCUCGAGGAGGAGCGCCGCGUCCACGAGGAGCUCCUCCCCGCGCGGGUGCUGGCCGUCCGGAAACUCCUCGUUCUCACCACCCACUGCCGCGUGCCCCUCGCGAAGCUCCACCACUACCGCACGGUGCUCGGCCGCCUCGACGACUUUCGGGACCGUGCCCGCGACUUCCCUGACGACUUCCGCAUCGCCGUGGACCCCAAUGGGCUCCACGUCCUCGAGCUGGUGCAUUGGGACCCCGCGCUCGCCAUGAGCACCCUGGAGUAGGACUUCAUGGUGGACGAGCGCCACAUCCGGUGCACAUUCCACUUCUCCGCCCCACACCACCGGUCGAUGCCACUAGACGGAGAGCAGGCGGAGCGCCUGGACACGGAGAUCACGUUCCUGCUGGUCUCACUGUACACCUACGACGCGCUGCUCCCCGACCUCCCUCCAGAAUGCCUCAGACAUGGUCGGGUCGGUACUGCACGCAGAAGCAUCACUUCUCGAUCCUUGCUCCAUCCACGCCACGCCACACCUCACCCACCACCCUUCCUUCAUUCCUCGUUGCACAUACCACGCCGACCCGACCCCCAAGUAAGAUGA
rnacentral:rRNA from 1 species